GCUAUAGUGUGGGGUGUAAUUGGUGAAUGUGAAACCGCGUGCUUGGUCGAUGCAGUGAAAUAGUGGGUUCCAUGAAAACAUUGCCAAAAUGUAUCCGGGUGUUUGGUUGGCGACAAACAUUUUACCAGAGGUGAUCAUGUUGGCGCGCGC
rnacentral:ncRNA from 1 species